rnacentral:rRNA from 1 species
UACAGAGGGUGCAAGCGUUGUUCGGAAUUAUUGGGCGUAAAGCGCGUGUAGGCGGCUUUGCAAGUCGGGUGUGAAAUCCCUCAGCUUAACUGAGGAAGUGCGCCCGAAACUGCCGAGCUUGAGUACCGGAGAGGGUGGCGGAAUUCCCCAAGUAGAGGUGAAAUUCGUAGAUAUGGGGAGGAACACCGGUGGCGAAGGCGGCCACCUGGACGGAUACUGACGCUGAGACGCGAAAGCGUGGGGAGCAAACAGG